GAUGAACGCUGGCGGCGUGCCUAAUACAUGCAAGUCGAGCGAACAGAUGAAGUGCUUGCACUUUUGACGUUAGCGGCGAACGGGUGAGUAACACGUAAGGAAUCUACCUAUAAGCGGGGGAUAACAUUCGGAAACGGGUGCUAAUACCGCAUAAUAUCUUCUUCCGCAUGGACGAAGAUUGAAAGACGGCUCUGCUGUCACCUAUAGAUGACCUUGCGGUGCAUUAGUUAGUUGGUGGGGUAACGGCCUACCAAGACGGUGAUGCAUAGCCGACCUGAGAGGGUGAUCGGCCACAUUGGGACUGAGACACGGCCCAAACUCCUACGGGAGGCAGCAGUAGGGAAUCUUCCGCAAUGGACGAAAGUCUGACCGAGCAACGCCGCGUGAGUGAAGAAGGUUUUCGGAUCGUAAAACUCUGUUGUUAGAGAAGAACAAGGAUGAGAGUAAAAUGUUCAUCCCUUGACGGUAUCUAACCAGAAAGCCACGGCUAACUACGUGCCAGCCGCCGCGGUAA
rnacentral:rRNA from 1 species